UGGGGAAUUUUGGACAAUGGGCGCGAGCCUGAUCCAGCAAUGCCGCGUGCAGGAUGAAGGCCUUCGGGUUGUAAACUGCUUUUGUACGGAACGAAAAGCCUCUCUCUAAUACAGGGGGGUGAUGACGGUACCGUAAGAAUAAGCACCGGCUAACUACGUGCCAGCAGCCGCGGUAAUACGUAGGGUGCAAGCGUUAAUCGGAAUUACUGGGCGUAAAGCGUGCGCAGGCGGUUUUGUAAGACAGUGGUGAAAUCCCCGGGCUCAACCUGGGAACUGCCAUUGUGACUGCAAGGCUGGAGUGCGGCAGAGGGGGAUGGAAUUCCGCGUGUAGCAGUGAAAUGCGUAGAUAUGCGGAGGAACACCGAUGGCGAAGGCAAUCCCCUGGGCCUGCACUGACGCUCAUGCACGAAAGCGUGGGGAGCAAACAGGAUUAGAUACCCUGGUAGUCCACGCCCCAAACGAUGUCAAACUGGUUGUUGGGGAUUUAUUUCUUCAGUAACGAAGCUAACGCGUAAGUUGACCG
rnacentral:rRNA from 1 species